ensembl:lncRNA
AUAUCAAACAGGUUUUUUUUUUCUCUUUCCCUUUGCCAGCCCAGCGCUGGUUUGUUCACAUGCUCACAUCCCUGCAAAGAAAUAAAUAGGCAGAGCCGUGCCGUGAUGCAGUGGCACGAAAAACAGGAAAACAAAACAAAGCCAAAUGAAGAUGCCUCCUCCUGCUGAGCUCCCCAGGGCCAUCCCUGGAACACGGUGUGCCAACAGCCAGGGCUGGGAUCUGUUUGCAGCAGGGAUCUGCUCCACCCCAUCACACGGUGCCAAACGCCCGCAUAUGUUUUGCUGGACUCCGAGUUGUACCUCGGUGCUAUAACCACAGUUCUAAUGAAGGUGCUUCUGAAGCAGAAUUACCCAAGCAGCUGUUCUUGUGUGAGGUCUGGACACGGGAAAAUUGCCUUUGAGGAGCCAAAUCCCUGCAGCCGGGCUGGGUGCUGCACGCGGGAAGAGGGUCAGGCCCCACGCUGCAGCCACCUGCAUCACGAGCUCACGGGCACAGUGAUGGCUGCCCUUCAUCCCAUGUGCUCAGCCCCGCGCCUCCGCGGGCAGCGGGAGGAAAGGGUUAAGGAGCUGCCAGCGGGGAUGAGGCGAGGGAAUUCAGCUGCUGACGCAGCUCAGGCAGUAAAAAGACUCAGAACGAGUAGUGCUCAAACGGGUGGCAUGGGAAGAAACGGGCGGCCGAGACGUGGUGCUGUCAGGGAUGUUCUCCUGCGUGGCGUGGGAUGGCUGAGCACGGCACAGCGUGGCACAGCACGGCACGGCAUGGCAUUGCCAUCGCAUGGGGUGGCAGAGGGGUGGCCCGCCGGCAGCAGCCAGCUUGCACACGGCUCUGCUGAGCCACCGCUGUCAGAGAACAGAGGCUGCUGUGGCAUUGGAACAUUGGCUCUGGAGCUCCUGAGAGCGGCCUGAGCAUGGGUUGCUCCCACCUUGCUGCCCCCAGAGCCGGUUACCAAGCCAGGCCCUAUGGAAUACAAUAGAAUAAUCGAUGGUCCAUUGUUGCUGGGCUUAAUUUAGCCAUUCAGGCGGGGAAGGAACAAUGUGAGCGUACGUAAGCAGGAGAAAAAGCAGCAGAUGAAUCAGCCCCGAGCCCUCUGUGUGCAGGGGCUGAGCGAGGCAGGCAGACGGACGCAUCUGCAGCAGUGCAGGUAAUGGGGAUGUACUUCGCUUUGUGCAAUGCCAGGUCUAAAAUGGCUGCGGCUGUGCUUGGUGUUAAGCAGCGGCACGGCCACGAAUCCCUCUCAAGCUGACCCAGCAGCCCGGAUGGAGCUCUGGGGGGACACAGCCUGGGAGGGGCAGCCCCACAGCCACGCCACGAGCGGGGCACCGUCCCAGGACACCCCCAGCACGCGCUCAGCCCGACCCGAAAGGUCCCAUAAAUGGCACCGUGGAGUGCCCCAGCACCCAUCCGCCCCACAGCCCAGCUCAGAGCCCACGUCCCUCCCACUGCCCUGCUGCUCACCGUGCCCACCCCGCGCCGGGGAUCGCUGUUUGCCUUUGCAUUCCUGUGGGUUGGCUCACACCGCGCCCCGGGCAGCGGCGGGCGGCACAUUCGGGCUUUCCU